rnacentral:misc_RNA from 1 species
GAUGAAGAACGCAGCGAAAUGCGAUAAGUAGUGUGAAUUGCAGAAUUCAGUGAAUCAUCGAAUCUUUGAACGCACAUUGCGCCCCUUGGUAUCCCGAGGGGCAUGCCUGUUCGAGCGUCAUUUCACCACUCAAGCCUGGCUUGGUGUUGGGCGACGUCCCCUUUGGGGACGCGCCUCGAAACGCUCGGCGGCGUGGCACCGGCUUUAAGCGUAGCAGAAUCUUUCGCUUUGGAAGUCGGGGCCCCGUCUGCCGGAAGACCUUCUCGCAAGGUUGACCUCGGAUCAGGCAGGGAUACCCGCUGAACUUAAGCAUAUCAAUAAGCGGAGGA